UACAGAGGUGGCAAGCGUUGUUCGGAAUUACUGGGCGUAAAGGGCGCGUAGGAGGCUUGGUCAGUCCCGUGUGAAAUCCCUCGGCUCAACUGAGGAACUGCACGGGAAACUGCCUGGCUUGAGUUCGGGAGAGGGAAGCGGAAUUCCGGGUGUAGCGGUGAAAUGCGUAGAUAUCCGGAGGAACACCGGUGGCGAAGGCGGCUUCCUGGACCGACACUGACGCUGAGGCGCGAAAGCUAGGGGAGCAAACGGG
rnacentral:rRNA from 1 species